UUCGGGGUACUCGAGCGGCGAACGGGUGAGUAACACGUGAGUAACCUGCCCUAGGCUUUGGGAUAACCCUCGGAAACGGGGGCUAAUACCGGAUAUGACCUUUCCUCGCAUGAGGGUUGGUGGAAAGUUUUUCGGCCUGGGAUGGGCUCGCGGCCUAUCAGCUUGUUGGUGGGGUGAUGGCCUACCAAGGCGACGACGGGUAGCCGGCCUGAGAGGGCGACCGGCCACACUGGGACUGAGACACGGCCCAGACUCCUACGGGAGGCAGCAGUGGGGAAUAUUGCACAAUGGGCGGAAGCCUGAUGCAGCGACGCCGCGUGAGGGAUGACGGCCUUCGGGUUGUAAACCUCUUUCAGCAGGGACGAAGCGCAAGUGACGGUACCUGCAGAAGAAGCGCCGGCCAACUACGUGCCAGCAGCCGCGGUAAGACGUAGGGCGCGAGCGUUGUCCGGAUUUAUUGGGCGUAAAGAGCUCGUAGGCGGCUUGUCGCGUCGACCGUGAAAACUUGGGGCUCAACCCCAAGCCUGCGGUCGAUACGGGCAGGCUAGAGUUCGGUAGGGGAGACUGGAAUUCCUGGUGUAGCGGUGAAAUGCGCAGAUAUCAGGAGGAACACCGGUGGCGAAGGCGGGUCUCUGGGCCGAUACUGACGCUGAGGAGCGAAAGCGUGGGGAGCGAACAGGAUUAGAUACCCUGGUAGUCCACGCUGUAAACGUUGGGCGCUAGG
rnacentral:rRNA from 1 species